rnacentral:tRNA from 1 species
GGACGCUUAGCUCAGCUGGUUAGAGCGUCGCAUUUACACUGCGAAGGUCAAAGGUUCGAAUCCUUUAGCGUCCA